rnacentral:lncRNA from 1 species
GGAUGGUGGAUGGUCAGGUAGGUAGGUGGAUGAGCAGGUGGCUAGGUGGAUGGUUAGGUGGAUGGAUAGGUAGGUAGGUGAAUGAGCAGGUGGCUAGGUGGAUGAGCAGGCGGCUAGGUGGAUGGGUAGGUAGGUAGGUGAAUGAGCAGGUGGUUAGGUGGAUGGUUAGGUGGAUGAGCAGAUGGUUAGGUGGAUGGGUAGGUAGGUAGGUGAAUGAGCAGGUGGCUAGGUGGAUGGGCAGGUAGGUAGGUGGCUGAGCAGGUGGCUAGGUGGAUGGGUAGGUAGGUAGGUGAAUGAGCAGGUGGCUAGGUGGAUGGGCAGGUAGGUAGGUGGAUGGGUAGGUAAGUAGGUGAAUGAGCAGGUGGCUAGGUGGAUGGGCAGGUAGGUAGGUGGAUGAGCAGGUGGCUAGGUGGAUGGUUAGGUGGAUGGGUAGGUAGGUAGGUGAAUGAGCAGGUGGCUAGGUGGAUGGGUUGGUGGAUGGAUGGAUGGGUAGGUGGUUGGGUAGAUUGGUGAAUGGGUGGAUAGGUAGGUAGAUGGGUGCCUAGAUAGGCAGAUGGGUAAAUGGUUAGGUGGAUGAGUGGAUGGCUUGGUGGGUAGGUGGAUGGGUAGGUAGAUAGGUAGAUAGGUGGGUGAAUGGGCAGAUGGCUAGAUGGGUAGAUGGUUAGGUGAAUGGGUAGAUGGGUAGGUAGAUGGGUAGAUGGGUGGGUGAAUGGGCAGAUGGCUAGAUGGGUAGAUGGUUAGGUGAAUGGGUAGAUGGGUAGGUAGAUGGGUAGAUGGGUGGACGGUGGGUAGAUGGCUGGGUGGAUGGGUGAAUAGGUAGGUGGAUGGGUAGAUGGGCUGGCCAGGGCUAUACCUUGGAGCAGUCAUCCUUGCCUUUGCCAACCCUAUGAGGCCCAGGUGACUGCACUCCCCUGUAGGCCCUACAUGGGCUUAUUUAUUUCAUGUUUUUGAAAAGCACUUUUUCUGUGACUUCCCCCAUUAUUAAGAUAAUACACAGUUAUUGUUUAACAUUUUAAAGUUACAGAAAAACCCAAAGACCAAUCAAAAUUCUGUGUCAUAACCAAGAGAUCACCAUUAUUAACAUUUCGGGGUAUACCCUUUUCUGUGCAUUUAUUGACAUAUGCAUCUAUUUUUUAUAAAGUUGGGAUCACACAGGACUCAUACUGCUUUAUAAGAAGCUUGGUUCACUUAAUAUUAUGCCUUGGGUACUUUUUUAUGUUCACCAAAUGCUUUUGAAUAAGAUGUAUCUUAAAGUCUUUCAGAAUUUUCCUUUUCUCCAGCUGAACUUAGCCACUUUCCUACCUGUGUUACCAUGAGCAAAUUAGCUUCAGUUUCCUCAUCUGUAAAAGGAGGGUUAACAACAGUGUCUGUGUCGGGGUUGUUGGGAGGGCAGGUGUGGCAGUGUGUGCCUGUCAGUAAGAACAGUGUCCUUUCUCUCCCUGGGGCCUGUCACACCUCCUGCCUAUAUUCACCCACCCAUCCACCCAUCUACCUAAUUCACUUGGUUAGUGUCUGCCUCAAGGGGUGCAAAUUUGGUUUUCUUCCAAGGGCACAGAUUUCUACUAAGACAGACACAGAAACACAAGGAAGAAGCUGUUUGCUCCUCUGGAGAGCCAGGGCCUGCCAGCUAUGUAGUCCUGAUGUGUGGAUGUGUCUUCAUCAUAGUGCAGGGUGAUUCUCUCAGUCAGUUCUACCUCAACCUCCACCUCCCUGGGGCGGGGAAACCCCGCAGAAGUUGGCUUCAUUUUGAUUUUUUUGUUGUUUGCCUUGUCCCCGCCCUCGCUCUCAGUGUUAAAUAUUUAACUAACUACAUAGAGGAAAUUAAGCCUCAAAAUCACCAAAAAUGCAAAGAACCCUUUGAUCAUAAAACACGUUAACUAUUUACAGGACCCUGAUACUUCCGUUGAGCCAUCUCCUUAUUCACUGCCCUCAUCCUUGUGCCACUUCCUUUUCUAACUAGAAAAGUACAAUCCUAGCUGGGCACAGCGGCUCAUGCCUGUAAUCCCAGCACUUUGGGAGGCUGAGGUGGGCGGAUCACCUGAGGUCGGGAGU